UUAAUUAGUUAAUGAUUGACGUUUGGUAGAGAUUUUUAGUUGUUGUGAACUUUGACAUGAAAAGAUAGUGAUUUUAUAUAUAUAUAUAGAGUGCGGCUAGGAUGCUUAUGGAAGCACGGAAGGCUCCGUGCUUCCACUUUGUUUUCGAUGUUCGGAUUUUCGAAUCGAUGAUCGGCUCCGUUAGACUUGAUCUAGAGUAUUUGAAGUAUAUAGAAAAUAAAUUUCGCGAUUUUUCGAUAUCAUUUGCCUAGUGAUCUAAGUAGCUCAAAAUCAACGGCUAAAAAUAAAAAUCUUACAAAAUAUGAUGAUAUGACAUUAAAAUUUUAGAUCAAAGUUAUUGAUCUUGUUUUAUAUGGUAUAAAAAAUUUUCUAUCAAAAUUUCAUGUGAUUUGGAUAUUUCUACACCGUUAAACUUGCAACCGGCUCACUACAGCCAUUAAAAUUAUUGAUUUUGAGCCCCUUUGAUUACUAGGCAAAUGAUAUCGAAAAAUUACAAAAUUUAUUUUCUAGGUACUUCAAAUACUCUAGAUCAACUCUAAUGGAGCCGAUCGUCGAUUCAAAAGUCCAAACAUCGAAAAUAACUUAGAAGCACGGAGAGCUCCGUGCUUCCAAAAGCAUACCAGCCCUCUCUCUCUCUCUCUCUCUCUCUCUCUCUCUCUCUAUAUAUAUAUAUAUAUAUAUAUAUAUAUUUGAGCUCCUAUACUUUUAAAAGUACCUAGUUAUUGGUGCUUGUAAGCUUUCGGCCCUUGGAUUAAAGGAUGUGCGGUUAGGAUGAUGUGGACCCCCUAGGGUUGAGUGAGUGGUUGGUUGAAUAAUAUAAUUUAAUGGAUAAAAAUGAUUAAAGGCAGAAAUCUAACGGUAAAAAAUUUACAAGCACCAAGUGCUAAAUACUUUUACAAGCACCAUAACCGAACUUAUAUAUAUAUAUAUAUAUAUAGAUAUAUAUAUUCUAUUAUUUUUUGGGAAGGUAGUGAUAUU
rnacentral:lncRNA from 1 species